AUUGAACGCUGGCGGCAGGCUUAACACAUGCAAGUCGAGCGAGCGGCGGACGGGUGAGUAAUGUCUGGGAAACUGCCUGAUGGAGGGGGAUAACUACUGGAAACGGUAGCUAAUACCGCAUACCAUCAGAUGUGCCCAGAUGGGAUUAGCUAGUAGGUGGGGAAAGGGCUAACAUAGGCGACGAUCCCUAGCUGGUCUGAGAGGAUGACCAGCAAAACUGGACUUGAGACAGGGUCCAGACUCCGACGGUGGGCAGCAGGGGGGAAUAUUGCACAAUGGGCGAAAGCCUGAGGCAGCCAUGCCGCGUGUGUGAAGAAGGCCUUCGGGUUGUAAAGCACUUUCAGCGAGGAGGCGUUACUCGCAGAAGAAGCACCGGCUAACUCCGUGCCAGCAGCCGCGUAAUAC
rnacentral:rRNA from 1 species